UGCUGCACUGCUCGAAGGCCACGAGGUUCGAGAACCGAGGUAGGGUGGAGGGCUCCACAGAAAGGAAAGGGAUCUCGAGCACGCCAUUGUGAAAUGCUACAUCUAGGAAGGCACUAAGACGCCUCUGAUUCUGAUUCUGACUCUGAUUCUGAUUCUCCUCCUCCUCCUUCUUCUCCUUCUUCUUCUCCUCCUCCUCCUCCUUCUUCCUGUCCUUCUUCUUCUUCGUCGUCUUCUUCUUAAUUGUCACUCCGGCCUCCACGAGCUCGGUAGCGGAUGGAAUCGUCCUUGGAAAUCUUUUCUUAGCCGGCUCCUGUGACCUGCAAUUCUUCAAUCGGAUACAAGAAAGCAGCAAGGUGAUACAAGAGGGGAGCAGGGCGAAGAUCCUACACGGCCAUAACCAUUUGAGAAUAGUACCGCGGAUGGUCCUGCCCGUCGGGUUAGUUUGUGGUUUCGUGACAUAGCAGUGGUAGUAGAGAUGCAACAAGUGACCAAAAUCUUUGGCUUCGCGGGGCACACGUAGGGGGUGAUCGUGAUUGCCUUGCACUUCCUUGUCUGUGCUCUCUAUAUCUUCCUCCGGGCUCUCGAGGUUUAUGCUCUCGAGGAACUUUACAAGAAGCUCCAUCAGAGUUGAAGGUAUCUCGCUGUCCAAGGUGGGCGUGACGAGUUCGAACAACUCGUCGAGCACGAAGAGGGGGAUUUGGUUCUCGAGCAAGAGCAAAUCGUCGCGAAUGAGCGGCAAGCUCCAAUCCGCAGCGAACAAGUCGUCCUUGUUCCCUUGGUACCACUUGAUGAGGAACUCUAGGAUGAAGCACCCGUCGAGAAGCAGGAUCUCCACGAACUUCUUGGCGUUGAGCUUGACAGGUUCGAAGUAGCACCGCCGCGCCUUUGGCUCCAACUCCCUGAUCUUGGCUUUGUAGUAAUUGAUGCGGCUGUCGCCGCUGCGAGAGCGGAAUGACUGGAGGUAACGUUGUUUAAGCCACUCCGUCUCCCGAAGGGAGGGCUCGUCACGGCAACCGUAGGGGCCGAUGGCGACCAUUCGGGGCUCGUACAGCUCCUUGUUGCGCUCCCGGAUGAGGGCCGGGACGCGGAAGAACGUGAACUUCUUAUCCGCGGCCGUCAGCUCAUCGCUUGAGGGGCGUUGUAUAUGCCUGGCCAGUACCAGGGACUGGGGAAUAUCUAUUCUCGCUUCUUCCAAUCCUUCCAUCGUCAACUUAUUGCAGAGUUUCUCAAACGCUCACGAAUUAAUUGGUGCACAAAAAAUAGGUGGGAAGAGUUUUCCUCCCUCGGCUUAUUUAUAACCGCAGACGCAGAAGAGCUCCCUGGAUUGGGACAGAAAUUAUUAGGAGACUUGGAUUUUUUUUUUUUUUUGAGAAAUAAAUAGAAAGCUAUCUGUUUCAUUUAUUAAGUAAAAUGAAUUGAGCGUACAGAGAUAGAAGCAACUUAGGUCUCCCGUAGAUUUGAAAUUCAAAGUGUAUAUUUGAGCCCGUGGAAUAUAUCGCGAUUUGGGCGUUAGAUUUCACAUCUCGAGUAAAAAUUUAAUAUAUAUUUAAAAAUCACAAAAAAAAAAAUUAAAUAGUUUUUUAGAUAAAUUUUUAGUUUCAUAACUUAGUAUCGAAUUAAUUUUCAAACUCUUAAUUUUAAAAUUUUUAAAAUUCUUAAUUAUUUUAUGUUAGAUAAAUUUAUUUAAUUUUUAAUGCUAAUCUUUUUCUUCUUUUUUUUUUUUGAGAAAAAGGUGAUAUAUUACCCAUUUCAUUUAUUUUUUUGAAAAUAAACUCAUACCAAAUUGUGAAGCAAUUAGGUUUCAAACUUAAAACUUUAGUUACCAACCACCAAAUCUGUUGUCACUUACACUAGAGACGGUUGGUCAUUGGUGGAUUUAUAUAAAAAUUAUUUUUUAUCUAAAGAUCAAAAGUCUGCAUAAUUAUUUGUCAUUAAGACGAUUGUUGACUCAAUGGCAUGCAGAAGAAGACCUCUCAACAAGUCAUUCGGCACGAGUUCUUUUUAGGUUCUAAAUUUGCCACUUGUUUCAAUUUAAAUGAUUAAAUUUUCGUUGUAGAUAAGGCAUCUUUUUCUUCGCUCUUGUGGAUAGGACAUUUAGGUUCUAUAUGCAAGAUGCGUUUCUCAAGUUUCACCGCUUGAAACAAGAGAAUCGCUCUGUUGAGGAAUACUCGGAGGAGUUUGAUCAUCUUAUGAUGCGGUGCGGUAUUUACGAACCGGAGGAGCAAACCAUCGCUCGUUACCUCGGUGGGCUUCGUCGUGAGAUUUUCGACAUCGUCGACCUUCAGCCUUAUUGGACAUACAACGACGUCUACAAGCUUGCGAUUAAAGCGGAGAGAUAGCUCAAGGGAAAGGAGGUGCGUCGAGCAUCAAGUGCCAGUGGUAAUCGAUCCAUAGCCCGUGAGAACACUCCCAACCGGGGGAGUACUUCUCAAACUUCUAAGUCCAUAUCCCAAAAGUCUCAUCUGAAGCAAGAUGCGGUGAGUACUUCUAAUUAUCCUAGUUCUUCGAAUUCCAACCCGCGACGGUGCUACAAAUGUCAAGGCUUCGGACACAUUGCCUUCGAAUGCCCAAAUAGAAGAAUUGUUACUCUGUUGGACGAGAUACCUGAUGAAGAGGAAUGUCUUGAAACUACAUCACCCGUGUAUGAUGAAGAAGUGGAAGGGGAAGAUGAAGUCACUUAUGGUGAUGGAGGAGAGGCUCUUGUCAUUCGAUGAGCCUUAAGCGCUACACCUGUCAAGGAAGAUGAUUGGCUUCGCAACAAUAUUUUUCACACACGGUGCACUUCCCAUGGCAAGGUAUGUAAUGUUAUUAUAGAUGAGGGUAGUUGUGAAAAUGUAGUUUCUACUACUAUGGUAGAGAAGCUACAGCUUCCUAUAGAGAAACAUCCCCAACCAUAUAAACUCUCUUGGCUUAAGAAAGAAAAUGAUCUGAAAGUGGAGAAAAGAUACUUAGUUGACUUCUCUAUUGGUAAAAAUUAUAAGGAUGAAGUGUGGUGUGAUGUCAUCCCUAUGGAUGCAUGUCACUUACUUCUUGGACGUCCAUGGCAGUUUGAUAGAAAAGUCAUACAUGAUGGUUUUAAGAAUACUUAUUCCUUCACUAAGGAUGGCACUAAAAUCACACUAGGCCCUUCCAAACCUGAGUAUUUAUCCAAAUUUUCUACAGAAGAGGAUAAAAUCUUAUGUUCUAAAUCAUUAUUUCUUAAGGAGUUGUCAAAAUCCUCCGAGGCCUAUGCUUUACUCCUUGUAGAGGAAAAUAAAAUAGAGAAUACGAUACCUCCUAUCAUCGUACCCCUUAUUCAUGAGUUUAAAGAUGUAAUUCCGGAGGAGAUUCCACCUGGUCUUCCACCUAUGCGGGAGAUCCAACAUUGCAUUGAUCUUGUGGCGAGCGCCGCUAUCCCCAAUAAGGCAGCAUAUCGAAUGAAUCCGAAGGAGAAUGAAGAGCUACAACGACAAGUUGAAGAUCUUAUUCGAAAGGACUUAGCAUGAGAAAGUAUGGGCCCCUGUGCAGUGUCGACGCUACUAGUGCCAAAGAAGGAUAAAUCUUGGCGCAUGUGUGUGGAUAGUAGAGCGGUUAACAAAAUCACUAUUAAGUACCGCUUUUCUAUUCCACGUCUCGACGAUCUUCUUGACCAACUUCAUGGUGCCUCAGUCUUCUCAAAAAUUGAUCUAAGAAGUGGCUAUCAUCAAAUCCGUAUGCGCCCUCGUGAUGAAUGGAAAACGGCUUUCAAGACGCGUGACGGUCUCUACGAAUGGAUGGUCAUGCCAUUUGGCUUUUCAAAUGCUCCAAGCACUUUUAUGCGACUCAUGAAUCAUGUAUUCAAACCCUUUAUUGGUAAGUUUCUUGUUGUUUACUUUGACGAUAUUUUGAUCUACAGUAAAAGCAUUGAGGAGCAUAUAACACAUCUUCGACAAGUAUUCCAAAUUCUACGGGAGCAAAAGCUAUACGCCAAUUUAAAGAAAUGCAACUUUGUGACAAAUAGCCUAGUCUUUUUGGGCUAUGUUGUCUCGGCCGAAGGUAUCAAGAUGGAUCCAGCGAAGGUUGAGGCCAUUGUUUCGUGGCCCGAACCUACUUCACUUCAGGACAUUCGAAGCUUUCAUGGCCUUGCUUCUUUCUACCGGCGCUUCAUCAAAGGGUUUAGCACUAUCAUAACCCCCAUCACUGAUUGCUUGAAAGGAGGAUCUUUCAAAUGGACGAAUAAUGCAAAGAAGAGUUUUGAGCUUCUGAAAACAAGGAUGAUAGAAGCUCCCCUCCUUACAAUCCCCGACUUUGACAAAGUGUUCGAAGUGGAGUGCGAUGCCUCAAAUGUGGGAAUCGGUGCGGUACUUAGCCAAGAAGGUAAACCUCUUGCUUUCUUCAGUGAAAAGUUGAAUAAUUCCUGAUAAAAUUAUUCUACCUAUGACAAAGAGUUUUAUGCUAUCGUUCGAGCUUUGGAGCAUUGGCGCCACUAUCUUAUUUCUAAGGAGUUUAUUCUCUUUUCUGAUCAUGAGGCCUUAAAGUAUAUUCAUGGCCAACACAAACUCAAUAGAAGGCAUGCUAAAUGGAUAGAAUUUUUACAAGCUUAUACUUUUCACAUUAAACACAAGGCGGGUAAGCAAAACCAAGUGGCAGAUGCCUUGAGCCGAAGACAUACUUUACUUUCAGCCAUGCAAGUGCAAGUUCUAGGCUUCGAGGUGCUCAAGGAGCUCUACGAGGAUGAUUCGUAUUUUGGCAAGGUAUGGAAAGAUUAAUUGUUCAAAUGGAUCUCACAAUAAAUUUAUUCUGCACGAUGGCUAUCUUUUCAAAGGCAAUCUUUUAUGUAUUCCUCAAUGUUCUCUAUGUUAUUUCAUUAUUAAAGAAGCCCAUGAAGGAGGACUUAGCGGUCACUUUGGAAGAGACAAGACGGUAGCCCUGUUACAAGAGCAUUUUUAUUGGCCACACCUAUAUAAAAAUAUUUCUAACUAUAUUGCAAGAUGCAAAACUUGUUAUAUUGCUAAGAGCCAUGUUCAAAAUACUGGCCUCUACACUCCAUUGCCAGUUCCUAAUGCGCCAUGGGAGGAUGUGAGUCUUGACUUCGUUUUGGGUCUACCGCGGACUCAACGGCACAAGGACUCUAUUAUGGUGGUCGUUGAUCGAUUCUCCAAAAUGGCACAUUUCGUUCCAUGCACGAAGACGAUGGAUGCUACUCACAUCGCUGACCUCUACUUCCGGGAGAUCGUUAAGCACCAUGACAUUCCAAAAACGAUCACUUCUGACAGAGAUCCAAAAUUUGUUAGUCAUUUUUGGCGUACUUUAUGGAGAAAGUUGGGCAUUACCCUCCAAUUUAGCUCUUCUCAUCAUCUCCAAACCGAUGGUCAAACGGAGGUUGUCAACCGAAGCUUGGAUAAUCUUCUACGAAGUUUGGUAGGCAAGAAUAUUCGGCAAUGGGAUCUAGUUUUGCCGCAAGCUGAAUUUGCCUACAACCGUUCAUCUAGUCAAACAACCGGUGCAAGUCCAUUCCAGGUAGUUUAUGGUCGCAAUCCCAUUAGCCCGCUUGACCUCUCUCCCCUCUCUACUACUUAUUUUUUAGCAGUGAUGCUGAUGAACAAGCCAAGCACAUUAAGCAAUUGCAUGAGCAAGUUCGAGCUCGCAUCAUUAAGCACAAUGAGAAGUAUCAAAAGGCGGCCAACAGACAUCGCAAACCAGCGACCUUCAAAGAAGGAGAUCUAGUGUGGGUGCAUCUUCGUAAAGAGUGCUUUCCACAAGGACGACAUGGCAAGCUUAAACCAAGAGCAGAUGGACCAUUCAAAGCUUAGUUAGUUAAUUCGCGAUUAAUACGCGAAUUAUUGGCGUAUUUUUUAAGAUACGAAUUAAACGGUGGUUUUCGUAUUUUUUCGAAAAGUACGAAAAAAAUCGCGAUUUUUUCAUCAAAAAAAAUUAUUCGCGAAUUAGUCGCGAUUCGCGAAUAAUUCGCCCAAAAAUUCGGCGAUCGCGGUCGCGUCGUCGCCGCUCUCGUUGCCGCUCGCGUUGAGGGGAAGGGAUUGUCAUGGUGCUACCAUGACCUGAGUGGGAAGCGUAGGAGUAGGAUAAGGUGAAGGAACCAGAGGAAGACAAGAGAAGAUCCAUGGCAAAGAGGAGUAAUGACGGCGGCGAGUUUUGUGAAGAAGAAGAAGCUUGUUCGGGUUUUGGGUUCGCGCUCCCUCACUGUAGCGUUACCGGAUCCGCAUCCAAGGGGUGAACUAUGGAAAUGCCCUGUUCGGGUCUUGGGUUCGCACUUCCUCUCUGUAGCUUCUCCAGACCGGAUCCGCAUCCGAGGCGGAGGCGGAUUCAGUUCACUCACAGGCCAGUCCAGGCGUAGAACCCAGCCCGACACGUCGUCGCCGCUCUUUUUAUAUAUUAUUUUAUUUUUAUAUAAAAAUAUUUAUAUAAUAUUUUAUUUAUAAAUUUUUCAUUAUUUAUUAAUAUUUUAAAUAUAUAAAUUUUAUGUAUUAUUAAUAUAUUUUUAUUAUUAAUAUAUGAAUAUAUUUAAUCUAUAUAUAAAAAUUAUAAUAAUAAUAUAUAUAGUAUAUUAAUUAUUAUAUAUUUAUUAUAUAGCCGAAUUUUUGAUGCCGAAUUUUUAAUUGGUAGACGUAUAAUAUCCGUAUAAAUCACGUAUCCGAAUAAUUAUCGAAUCCGAUUUUUAACCGUAUUUUUCAAUGAAUUUAAAAAUUAAAAGACGAAUUUUAUCCGAAUUAUACCCGUACCGAAUUUUUGCCGAAUCCGAAUUAACUAACUAUGAUUCAAAGUGCUUAAGAGGAUUGAAGAGAAUGCCUAUAAGAUUGAGUUGCCCGGUGACUACAAUGUUUCGGCGACUUUCAAUAUUGCAGAUCUUUCACCGUAUUAUGAAGACAACCCACAUGCUGAACUUGAGGACAAGUUCUUUUCAACCGGGGGAGAAUGACACCGUUCCUGAAGUUGAUGGAUGAAGCCAUUAAUCACUUAAUAAAUGUUCGUUUUGAAAUAAGUGUAUCCCUUUGUUUUUCUAUAAUUGUCUUUUCGUUUUCUUAAAAAUGAGUUAUGAUAGUCUAGAUUUGUGUGUCUUUUAGUAUUUCUAAAAGUACCUUUUAAUUUUUCUAUAAAAUUAAAGAGUGCAUUAAUGUGUAGAGAAGAUGAAAGGUCAUUUGAGAGCUUAUAAAUAUGUAAUAAUUUUAUAAUGAAAAAAAGUCAAGUUGAGUUGAAGUUUCUACUUUUAUUUGUGAAGAAUGAUUUCUUCUUGCUCCUAUCUCCUAGGUGGAUUUCUUAUGAGAGAAGAGUGUUGCUCAACCAUUGUGUUGGUGAAUUCCGCAUAGUGGUGAAUAUUUAUCGUCUUAUAUUUGUCCUAUCUCCGCAUCCCCUCUAAGUGCCGGCGUCAUAAUUGAUGAUCCAAAGAAAUGUGAAUAAAUCUCUACGAAUCGGAAAAGGACGUGCGAGAAGAAAAAGAAAUAUGAUUGGCUUUUAGGAAAAAGUUUUUAUGGGAUUCAAUCUACGCGCGUACCUGCUGCAUCCGUCAUGAAUGAUGCAUCUUUUUUAUUCACUUUUGGCUGCUCCCUCUGUGAUUGAUAGCCACAUUUGGCAAUAGAAAUUUCCAAGUUUGAUUAAACAGAGUUGACAAGAAGAUAAUGUAUAUCUAAUAUUAGAGAUAUAUUUUUUAAAAUUAGCUCCAUCUUACAAGGAAGCACUUGAGAAUAAAUCUGAUUUUAUUUCUCCUUCAAUAAGUUAUAGCCUAGUUCUUAAAGAGGAGGCAAUUAAUAGCAGUAAGAUUUCGCGGAAUACUGAUCGUCCCUAGCAUAAAUGACAAAGAGCUUGAUGGUUGAUAUCUGAGGUCUCAAAUUUGAAUCCUAAUUGAUUCACAUUUUCAGCUAAAUUUAUUUCUAAAUGAAAUAAACGAAACGGGUAACAUGCUAUCUUUCUCUCAAAUAAAACAAAAAAAGAUUUUGGAGAAUCUGCGUCUAUUUAAUCAAGUGAAGCGUAAUUUUGACUAAAACAAUUAACCUAUAUUACAUAGUAAGUGCCUAAAUUAAUGCAAAUAUUAUUGUAGUUGUUUAUUCUAUUAUUGUCAAACUACUUUAUUUUUUUGAAAGAACUUAAUUUUUUUUUUGGUUAAAAGAGAAAGAUAUACUACCAACUUAAUUUAUUGAUUCUUUUUUUUUAAAAAAAAAAGCUUAAUAUGUGAAACAACUAAGAUUCAAACUUAAAACCUAAGAUAUCAACUCUUCAGCUUUUUGCCACUCGCGCUAGAAACGGUCAGUUUUCUGAAUUAAAAGUUGUUGAAGAGUGCUAGAUAAUGUCCAUAUAUUUGCUGCUAUAAGUCUUUCAAAAUAUUGCCUACAGUUAAAAAAAUAAAAAAAGCCUUUCAAAAUUUUGACUUUUGAUUGAUUUACACAUAUAGUUUGAUGUGGUUUACAAGUACAACAGUAAAUAAAAAAUAUGAAAAUAAUGUUGUAUAUACGUAUAUAUAUUUUUUGAGAAAAAAAAUAGCAUGCUAAUCUCUCCAUUCAUAAUAAUGUUGUAAAUUUUCCAUGUGUUUAGUCUAAAUUGGUUAAAUUUUGAUUGUAGAUAAGGCAUCUUUUUUUUUUUUUUUGCUUUUGGCUGCUUCUUCUGUGAUAGAAAAAUUUGAUAAUAAAAAUAAUCUGAUAAGGUUAAAACCAGUUGAAAAACAUAGUGUAUGACGCGUAAAAGAGAUACAUGUAUCUAUAUUAUUUUAAUAAUUAUGAGUUUGAAAGAUAGGUCACCUAUAUUUGUACUAUUCUAAUAAUUGUGAGUUGCAAGUGGCAAAGGACUUGGUGGUUGAUACCCGAGACCUAAGUUCGAAUCGUAAUUGAUUCACAUUAAUUUCCAGCUAAGUUUAUUUCUAAAUGAAAUAAACGAAGCGGGUAGCGUGCUAUCUAUCUCUCAAAAAAAAUAAAAAUAAAAAUUGUGAGUUGCAUCAGUCAGCUCUUUCUUAUUUUAUCAAGAAGAAAUCCGAAUAGUUUGAUUUUUUUUAGAUUUGAGAGCGUUUUCUACAUUUCAUCCAUCAAUCCACCCUAACAUCUAUUAUCUCAUCAUCUUAUAUGUUAAGUAAAUUUAAAAAUUUAAAUAUAAAAAAGUUUAUAUUUAGAAAUUCAUAUAUUUAAGUGUACAUAAUUUUAAAUUAAAUUUAGUUUUUAUAAAUUAAAAUUAUGUAACGUAUAAAUUUAAAGAACCAAAAAUUAAAAAUACUAAAUUUACCUAAUUUUAACUUUUAAUUAUUAAAUCACAAUAUUGAAAAUUUAUAUGUUAUUAAAUUAAAUUUAUAAUUUUUUAAAAUUCAAUGCAAUUUACUAUAAAUUGAUACAUUUAAAAUACUUUAACAUUCUUAAAUUUAUUUAUUUAUUUUUAACAAUCUAAAAAUCUAGCGGUAGCUGAUAAGAGAUUUUUAUGGACAAGGUGGAAAACACUGGUGCAUUUUUUAAAGAAAUAAUUUUAUGAAUAUUCUCCUUACAUACUAUAAUAUCACUAAUAUGCUCAUAAAUUUAAUAAUAUCAUGCAUGUCCUUUUAAAUAAUCACGAAGUUCCCGAUACCCCUAAUGAUUUUUUUUUUUUUCCAAAAUAACCGUCAUAGUUAAAAAAUAUCUAUUUUCUUCUUAUUUAUGAUAUCAUUAAUGUCCCUUAAAUUUUUUUAUCUUGUGAUAUUCAAAAUUUUCCAAAAAUACUCUCUAAACUUUUUACUAAUACUUUUUAUCGCCACGCAUACAACAUAAGUCACACGAACACUUUUACAAAUAAAUAGUUUAAAAAUUAAGUUUUUAAAAAAGGUCCUGUCCAUUAAUUUAUCAAUAUUCAAUCUAGUUACUCCAAAAAGUAUUCACUUUUUUUUGUUAAAAAAAAAAAUCUAAUUGUGAAACAAGCGAAAAUUACUUAUUGAGCUAGAAAACUUUUUUCCGAAAUUUUUUGGUCUGAACCAGACACCCCCUAAAUAUGUUUACAAAAUUAAAAGAAAAAUCCCAUCGAUUAAUUCAAGUAGACCUUAACUUUGAGAGCUUAUGUUUUGUAUCUUGCACUGUGGAAAUUAAAGAAUGAAAAUUUUGAGUCAAUAUAAAGUCCUUAUUCUAAGUAUAUAAGUCAUUCUGAAUCCAUCCAAUUAAUUAAGUCCUCUCGGAGAGAGAGAGAUUAAUUCCUCCCCCAGCUUGAUUAGAUUUCGACACAACUUGAGGAUGAAGAGAUCUAUACGCAAAUCGUACAUUCAACAGCCAAUCAAGCUAUGCCUCCAAAUCCGACAAUCUGCCAGAUCCGAUUUAGGAUAGAGUUUGCAAGAAGCAAUCAGUUAAGACUAUGCCACACCAUUAUUGGAGUCUCAUGCAUGUUGUUACACUUUUCAUUAUAGAUACAUUUCGAAACAUUCUUAAUACUGAAUUAAUUGAUAUUCAUGUUGACGUAUGUGCAUUUUCUCGCAAUAGGAUAGUAAAAAUCUACGACAUGCACGUGUUCUUCCAUUAUCAGUACAUUUGAAAAACCCCUCCUUACAGAUAAAAGGUUUGGAGGAAUUAUGAAAGGAAAAGGUUCCAACCCAGUGAAAACAAAAGAAGACAACGUCGUACGGAUACAUAGACCACCAUGAAAAGGCAGAGAGAAAAGGCGACACCUCACUUUCCAGGACACGUGGUUCCGGGCCCAAUGUCGGAAAAGGAAGAUGCAUGUGAAUGGAAAAGAUCACAAUCUUAUUCUGGAGUCGGUACAAUGUAAGAUGGACACUCAGGUCCAAUUAGUAUCCAUAAAUAUUUUAUUUAAUAUAUUUAUUUAAUAAACUCAAAAAAUAUAUAUAUUUGAUAAGUAAAGAAAGCAUUUAAAUAUUUAGAAUAAAAUAUUAUAUUCGAUAUUUAAGUCAUUUUUUAGAAUAAGAUGAAUCAUCUCGUAGAUAAAAUAUAUCAUUAUACUAAAUCAUGAAUUGUAAUACUUUUUAAGAAGUCAAAAUCAAAACUUUUAUUUAUAAUCAUACGAAAAUUAUUUAUAUCAAAUAAAAUAAUAUUUGAAUAACUUAUUGGAACAUCAAAAUAAGAGCUUACCAUUUUCCAUCUCACAUUUGCUUACUAUUCUUCUUAAGUGCUCUCUCUCUCUCUCUCUCUCUCUCUCUAUGUCUAUAAAUCCCCCCUCUUCUCACUAUUUCCUCUCUAUCUCUAUCCCUUGGGGUUGCUGUGGUCUGUGAUAGUGGACUCACUGAAGCCAUCAAUAAAUUUAAUAAAACCCUCAGUUUCUUUAAACUAAACUUAAAUCCAAAAGAUUGAAAGGCAAAGGGGUCACCUUGAAAAUUUUGAAGGUAACACAGCCAUUUGAAAAUGGCUUGUCAUUGAGGGGAUCUCCAUACAAUUUCUUUUUUUUAUCUUUAUUUACAGGUGAAUAUGUAUGCAACCUUUUGUAAUAUGAUACUUUUUCUUUUUUUUUUUUUUGAUUAAACAGGGGUUCGCCUGUUUGGUAGGGGGAUACAAGCAGAGGGGACAAAGGGAGGCUUGUUCAGAGGAGAACGAGCAGAGUACAAGAGAUUGAGUGGGAGAAACAAAUUAGUCUAUCUAUGUUGAUCGCACAAGUUUCCAAACUCGUCCACGAUCUGUUGGUUGGUUACCUCCUCCACAAGUACAUCCAAAGCUUGACUAAGCAGGUGACGGUCUUGCCCAGUUCUUCGCUAGAAGUGCGGCGAUUAGUAAAGAUUCUUGAGUUUCGCUCUUUCCAUAUUUCUCAGCAAGCUGCCACAAAGCAUAAGUCAAACCAAGAUUUUGCAGCUCCCGACAACACGUUCCUGCAACUCAUCCAUCUCAUGGGAAUGUCUCCGACUGCUGUCUGCAGUAAAGCGGUGAUGUUCUGUAACCCUGAAAGUAUCGCGUUCCACGUAGCUCGCGCGUAAGGACACCCAAAAAGUAAAUGAUUCUGGUUUUCCUCAUUGCUCAAGCACAUCACACAAAUUAAGGGACCCUGCCACCCACGUUUGGUUAACAAGUCCGCCGUCAAAAUCCUGUUUCUCGCUGCCAGCCACAUAAAGAUUUUGAUCCUGAGUGGCGCUUUUAGCUUCCAAAGGUGAGGCAAGCUGCAGUCCGAUACUCCGCAAAAGGCGAGGAAAUCGUAGGCGCUUCCGGUUGAGAAAUGGUCACUUGAGUUCCAUCUCCAAAUGACUGAGUCUUCCAGUUCAGCAUUGAAGGAGGUAGUGGAUACCAGGGCCGCUAGGUGGUGGAGUUCGUCCUGCUGCGGCCGGCUAAGUGAGGAACUGAAUCCUAGCGAGGUACUUCCGGCAAAACGUCGAAACCAUCAUUUGACGGAGAUCUGUUUCUGCGUCGUUAUGCAAUACAGGUUGGGAAAUUGUUUUCGCAGGGGUAACUCACCAUGCCAUCUGGAAUUCCACAUAGAAGUUAGCCUGCCAUUGCCGAGUGAGAGAUUGACAGAGGUUGUGAAAGGUGCCGCUGUAGAAAGGAUCGCUUUCCAAACAGGAGAACCCCCAGCUGGUUUAGAGAGGUCUGUCCGAGGCGGCCGAUGUUUAGAGUGUUUCUGUCGAAGAAGCUGUACCCAGGGGAGUGAAGGUGAAUUGAAGAACUUCCAAAGGCCCUUCAUUAGGAGUGCUGCAUUCAUGUGGCGAAUAUUUCGGAUACCAAGACCCCCAUGCGUCUUUGGGCGACACACGUUCUCCCAUCUAACGAGACAGUGAAACCCGCUCACGAGCUUCUCUCCUCUCCAAAAGAAGCCUCCGCGAAUUUUGUCGAUGGCCUUCGUGACCCAAACUGGGAGCAAAAAAGCAGAGCAGAAAUAGAUAGGAAUGCUCGAUAGAGAAGAGUUGAGAAAAAAAGCAGAGCAGAAAUAUGAUACAUUUUGAGUUUACUAUGCAACCUUUUAAUUUAUUUAAUUUGAAAAACUGCUAGAUAGAAAAAAAGCAGAGCAGAAAUAUGAUGGGAAAAAAGCAAUUUGACCCAAUCUGCUAGAUACGAAAAAAGCAGAGCAGAAAUAUGAUACAUUUUGAUUCAACUAAACCUUUAAAAUUUUGAGUUUACUAUGCAACCUUUUAAUUCCUUUAAUUUGAAAAUUUUAAUGACUCUUUCAUUUUAAAAUUUUUAAAAUAUUAUUUAUUUUUAUGGGUCUAAUUAGUAUUUUUUUUAAUAUAAUUUAUAUAACUAUAAUUUUAUUAAAAUACAAAAUGGACCUAAAAUUUGUACUUAUAUCAGAUGAAUUAAAGGCUGUAUAUUAAAAUUAAACUUUUAGAAGAUUGAAUAGUUAAAUUAAAACAGAAUAAAAUUUGGACUAGUCCUAUAUAUUUUUUUAUCUCAUUUAAAUUGGCCUACUUUUAAGCAACAUCUUGAAAGUAGGUCAAUUUAAAAUUACUCCCUAAACUUUUCACCAAUACUUUUUAUCGUCACAGCAGGCGUCACAAUGUCAGACGUCACAAUGUCACAUGGACACUUUUACAGAUAAAUAGUUUAAAAUUUUACAAAAAUAUCCUUUCUGUUUAUCAAAAUUCAAUCUACUCACUCCAAAAAUAUGUUUGGAAAAUCAAAAGAAAAAUUCCACCCAUUAUCUCGAGUACACCUUAACUUUGAGAGCUUUGUUUUGUAUCUUGCACUGUGGAAAUUAAAGAAUGAAAAUUUUUGAGUCAACUUAAAAUCGUUGUUCUAAGUAUAUAUAAGUAAUUCUGAAUCCAUCCAAUUAAUUAAACCCUCUUGGAGAGAGAAAUUAUUGUCUGCACCUGGUGUACUCGUGUAUCUCAUACGCUGCACUCUAUAUUUGACAGUUAUUAGUAAUUAAAAAUUAAAUAAAAUCUGGAACUUUAAAAAUAUCUACUUAAUUUAUUGGUUGACCAAAAUGCUCUUUGUUCAUUUGAAAAAAUUUCUUCAAAUAUUCCUUAUCCUCUAGAGUUCACUAAUGAGAUUGGAGUUUUAGAUGGCUAUUCUUGAAAUUGAAAAAUAAAUUGAAAAAUUUUGAAUAAUAGUAAAAAGUCUAUUAGCAAAGGUCCCUUUAAAUAUAUUUGCUAUUAUUAGACAAUUUCGUUAAAAUUUGAUUAGUUGAGAGACACCAUAUUAGCAAUGUGACUGCUGCAAUCUAAACUUUUUCCUCACAUACCUAAUUUGAUAAUGUUGUGAUUAAAAAUGAUAUUUUUAUACUAUGAAAACUUUCAAAAAAUUCAAAAUCACAUAAGUUUGCUUUUUCACACUAUAAUAUUGUGGUUACAAGUGCCAUAUAUCAUAGAAGUAAGUAGCCACAUUAAGAAACUGAGGAUAAUAAUUUUUCACAGAGACAACUUUGUAUUGGCAAAAUGGUCAUUUCACAUGUUCACCAUUAAAAAUCUAACGAGAGAUCAAACGGUAGGAACAAACAUAAACGUAUUAGAAGUUUUAGAUGGAUAUACUUACAAAUUAUAAAACUUUUUAAAAAAUAAAUCUAAUCACUUAAACUUUUAUAGAAAUUUAUCUAUCACUAAAUAUCUUUGUAGCAAGCCAUGCGAAAUUAUUGCUUUUAUUAACAUACGAAGAACAUUUGCACAAUUCUUCACAUUCAACUAUUAUUUUAGUAGGCUCGCACACACUCACAUCCAAAUUAUCUCAUGGUACACUGGAACACACUCACACACACCCGAAGUUGCAAUUAAAUGACUGGCACACCAACUCUAUACUAAAACUAUCCGCGCGCGCUCACACUUAAUUUCCACGCUACUACGUACUACUCGAUCCACACGGUGUCUUGGUGUGUGAGGACCUCACACCAAUUUGUAGGCAUCCAUCCAACGUCUGUUCGGACUGACUUAAAGCUUAGUCGGACACAACUAAUUAAUUCCCAGGAUGAUAGUAAGAGCAGAUGGUGUAGACGGUUUGGAGGAUGGUGAGAAUAAGAAGGACAGCUGCUGCGAUCAAAGAAAUGAUGGCCCAUGGAUUGCUGAAAUAGUCCCUCACCAGCUUCGCCCUCCACUUGGGCCAACGGGAAUCGCAGUACUUCCUCACGUCCCGGAAGAGUUCGGCGAGGUAGUGGUCAUCGUAAUCCAUGUAGGCCAAGUCGGAGAGCUGGUUGAAGAAGACCGCCAGUUCCUCGUCGCUCGCCAGAUUGUUCUCCAGGAUUCCGCGCUGGUGGAGUACCGCCACAUCCUCCCGCUUGUCUAUGAGGCAGUUCAUGAACAUCGCGUAGCUCGUCAUGUAAGCCUUAUCACCCUUGCACCCGCCGCACUGCUCGAAGGCCACGAGGUUUGAGAACCGAGUUAGGGUGGAGGGCUCCACCGAGAGGAAAGGGAUCUCGAGCACGCCGUCCUCAAAUGCUACAUCUAAGAAGGCACUAAGACGCUUCUCAUGAGUCUCAUUCUCAUUCUUCUUCUUCUUCUUCUUCUUCUUCUUCUUCUUAAUUGUCACUCCGGCGUCCAGGAGCUCGGUAGCAGAUGGAAUCGUCCUCGGUUUUGGAUCAGUUCGCAGUUUCGAGCGAGUUUGUGGUGCCGUGACAUAGCACUCGUAGUAGAGAUGCAAUAAGUGAUGAAAGUUUUCCGCUUCCCAUUUCUGGGGCUCUUUUGUUU
rnacentral:lncRNA from 1 species